UGAAAACUUGACCAGCAACUCGUGUAAGUGAUGCCCCGCCCCUCACAUGAAGGUUCCUCAACAUUAGGCAGCCCCAGUCUUGACGUGACAGCCACUAGGAACGGUCGUCAACAAUGUGGUCCCUAUUGUUUCUUCUUACCCUGUCAGUGGCCACAGUCCACCUUGCCAUCGAGAACCAAUUCUGGCAUGCGUCUGAGGUCUCCGUCGAAAGGGUGACAUCAAUGAGUAGCACCCAGUUAGGAUCAUUAAUUCGGUGUGCAAUGUUGGCUACCGAGAUUUCAUGGAGCCACUUGUUCGUCUUCAAGGACGGCGUCUGCUCUCUCUCUGACAUGAGGGUCGGUAAAUACCUGAAUGACUCUGACCUAGGCCCGACCAUCGCCUGCCAUACCCGGCACAUGUAUGUGUGUAGAACCAACGGCUACACCUACGCUGAUGGGGAAUCGUUGGAGGACACGUGUGGUUACUACUUCUGUGACCGCGGUACCGUCGGCAACAUUAUGAAAGCAACAACAUGCCCUUCGCCUUUCACUGAGGAUGCUGGUCUUGGGUGUGUCUACUUAAACAAAGUGUCAAUGACUUUUUGCGAUGCAAGGAAAUGGUGGGAAGCUCGGGGCUGAUCUUGCUUUUACAGACUUCACAGCCAUAGACAACUACAUCACCGACGUUAAUGAAUUAUGGGUGGGGGUGAAGGCGCGGAAGUGGGUAGAUGGGCGGCCUGUCCUGGCUUCGGAAUGGAAUCUUAACGAACCCGAUGGGCUUCCCGAAGACUGUGCGCGCCUGUUUGGACAACCCAACUCAAAACUUGCUGAUAAACCCUGUGCCAAAUCUUUUCCAUUCCUGUGUCAGAUUCCUCUGUACAAGGAGAGAGUGUAGUAGGCAAGACAUGGUGGUGUUAGUGGUGGUGAUGAUAUUGAUCGUGGUAGUGGUGAUGUGAUGGUAGUGUUAG
rnacentral:misc_RNA from 1 species